GAUGAACGCUGGCGGUAUGCUUAACACAUGCAAGUUGUACGGUACCUUCGGGUAUAGUGGCGGACGGGUGAGUAACGCGUGAGAAUCUGUCUUCAGGUCGGGGACAACAGUUAGAAAUGACUGCUAAUACCGGAUAUGCCUUAUGGUGAAAGAUUUAUUGCCUGAAAGAGAGCUCGCGUCAGAUUAGCUAGUAGGUGGUGUAAGAGACUACCUAGGCGACGAUCUGUAGCUGGUCUGAGAGGACGAUCAGCCACACUGGAACUGAGACACGGUCCAGACUCCUACGGGAGGCAGCAGUGGGGAAUUUUCCGCAAUGGGCGAAAGCCUGACGGAGCAAUACCGCGUGAGGGACGAAGGCUUUUGGGUCGUAAACCUCUUUUAUUAGGGAAGAUAAUGACGGUACCUAAUGAAUAAGCAUCGGCUAACUCUGUGCCAGCAGCCGCGGUAAU
rnacentral:rRNA from 1 species